rnacentral:rRNA from 1 species
AUUGAACGCUGGCGGCAUGCCUUACACAUGCAAGUCGAACGGUAACAGGUCUUCGGAUGCUGACGAGUGGCGAACGGGUGAGUAAUACAUCGGAACGUGCCUAGUAGUGGGGGAUAACUACUCGAAAGAGUGGCUAAUACCGCAUGAGAUCUACGGAUGAAAGCAGGGGAUCGCAAGACCUUGCGCUACUAGAGCGGCCGAUGGCAGAUUAGGUAGUUGGUGGGAUAAAAGCUUACCAAGCCGACGAUCUGUAGCUGGUCUGAGAGGACGAUCAGCCACACUGGGACUGAGACACGGCCCAGACUCCUACGGGAGGCAGCAGUGGGGAAUUUUGGACAAUGGGCGCAAGCCUGAUCCAGCAAUGCCGCGUGCAGGAUGAAGGCCUUCGGGUUGUAAACUGCUUUUGUACGGAACGAAAAGCCCUGGGUUAAUACCCUGGGGCCAUGACGGUACCGUAAGAAUAAGCACCGGCUAACUACGUGCCAGCCGCCGCCGUAA